CAUCUCACAGAUGUGGGAAUGAAACGACAACAAAGGCUGGAGAUAUGGUUUGUUUCGGAUAUUUGCCCAAAGCAACAUUAAGAGGUAACUGUGGUAACCGUCCCCAACUUUAUCUGAUAGACUAGAGGGAAGGCGGCUAGUUAACAGCUCUCACCGCCAACUUAUGGGUGUGAAUUCGGCCUCAAAGUACAGAGCACGAUUAUUUUUUCUCAGCAAUGGAAGACAACCAUGGACCUCCAGAAGCACAUAAACUACUGGACAACAUCCGACCAAAAGGGAAGGUUUUAAAUGACAUUCUAGGUUUCAUGAUGACUCCUUUGGAUCUGAAGUAAAAACAAAGAUUUGCCCCUGAAGCUCGAAAAUUUGACUGAUUACCAAAACAAGAAAAAUAAAGACAUAAUAACCCGAUAUUCGCGCAAUGCUAUAACUACUGGAAUGGCCGUCUCUGAUUUUGAACUGAUAGACUUGCUGGAAGGUAGCUGGUCAACAGCACACACAGCCAACUGUUGAGAUACUCUAAUCGAUAUGUGAUUUGAUCAUUACCUUUAUAACGCACUCAUUGCCCCAAACUUCUUUUUUGUGGCAUUGUGAUGCAAAUCGAGGACUCUUGGAUCCACAAUCCUGCACGACGACCACAAGGCCACUCUCGCCCUGUUUUGUUAAUGUAAUGGAGAUAUUUAAAUACUGUUCUUCGUAUGAACAUCGAUGAGACAUAUGACUGAACUAGCUGUUCAAAAGGUACAUAUAGUUAUGUGCGCACUUAUAAUUAUUAACAGAAAUUAAGAUUCUUGUUUUAUCUUUAAAAAACAUUAUCCGAAUGGUUUGAAGAAAUGCUUUGUCAGUCUUUGAAUGUAGUUCAUCUUAUGCAACUUAGACAUCGAUACAUUAGCCUUAAUUAAACAGAUAUCUCUUGUGUUGUUGAAUAUUGACGCAGUUUUUAACACACAGAUUUCUUUUCUCUGCUAACUUUUGUAUGAUUGUACAGAAUGUUACAAAUAACUCACAUAUCUCUUUUGUAUAACUCUUAUGAUUUUGUACCGUGAUAUUGCUCCCCUAGAAUAUACGUAAACUUUUCCAUCUAGAAUAAAGCGGACUUUACGAUUCCUGAAGAGAGCAUUUUUAUAUCAAAUAUUUCUAAGCAAAUAUAAGUUUGUUGACAAUAUUAACAUGACACACGCAGUAAACACCUAAGAGUCGCAAACAACGAUUAAUGGUCACUAAAUGGUAAAUAUUAAUUGUUCAAAAAGUUGUCAUGUAAGAUACAAAAGAAACGCGAAUAAGUUGUACAAUUCACUAAUAAUUUCUAAUGUGAGCCCGAGCAUUAUCACUUGUGUUCAUGCUGAUAUACAGUAUACCAAUAUACCAUUGUGGUUAAUUGUUCAUAAUGUUCUAUAUAAGUGAACAAUAUUCAGCCAAGUUGUUUGACCGCCUUUUGACCUAAGUCUAUAUAACCUAAAGGAUGUUCAAGCCAAA